rnacentral:rRNA from 1 species
AUACAGAGGGUGCGAGCGUUAAUCGGAAUUACUGGGCGUAAAGCGCGCGUAGGCGGUUUGGUCAGUCGGAUGUGAAAGCCCCGGGCUUAACCUGGGAAUUGCAUUCGAUACUGCCAGACUAGAAUGUAGUAGAGGGAAGUGGAAUUCAGGGUGUAGCGGUGAAAUGCGUAGAGAUCCUGAGGAACAUCAGUGGCGAAGGCGACUUCCUGGACUAACAUUGACGCUGAGGUGCGAAAGCGUGGGGAGCAAACAGGAUUAGAAACCCCGGUAGUCC